rnacentral:rRNA from 1 species
UACGGAGGGUGCAAGCGUUAUCCGGAUUCACUGGGCUUAAAGGGUGCGUAGGUGGGCAGGUAAGUCAGUGGUGAAAUCUCCGGGCUUAACUCGGAAACUGCCGUUGAUACUAUCUGUCUUGAAUAUAGUGGAGGUGAGCGGAAUAUGUCAUGUAGCGGUGAAAUGCUUAGAUAUGACAUAGAACACCCAUUGCGAAGGCAGCUCGCUACACUAUCAUUGACGCUGAGGCACGAAAGCGUGGGGAUCAAACAGG